UACGGGGGGUGCGAGCGUUGUCCGGAAUCACUGGGCGUAAAGGGCUCGUAGGCGGCCAACUAAGUCGGAUGUGAAAUCCCCAGGCUUAACCUGGGAACUGCAUCCGAUACUGGAUGGCUUGAAUCCGGGAGAGGGAUGCAGAAUUCCAGGUGUAGCGGUGAAAUGCGUAGAUAUCUGGAGGAAUACCGGUGGCGAAGGCGGCAUCCUGGACCGGCAUUGACGCUGAUGAGCGAAAGCUAGGGGAGCAAACGGG
rnacentral:rRNA from 1 species